rnacentral:rRNA from 1 species
GAUGAACGCUGGCGGCGCGCUUAACACAUGCAAGUCGAACGAGAAGUUAACUUUAGAUUCUUCGGAUGAAAAAGUUGACGGAAAGUGGCGGACGGGUGAGUAACGCGUGGGUAACCUACCCUGUACAGGGGGAUAACAGUCUGAAAAGGCUGCUAAUACCGCAUAAGACCACAGCAUCGCAUGGUGCAGGGGUAAAAAUUCCGGUGGUACAGGAUGGACCCGCGUCUGAUUAGCUAGUAGGUAAGGUAACGGCUUACCUAGGCGACGAUCAGUAGCCGGCCUGAGAGGGUGAACGGCCACAUUGGAACUGAGACACGGUCCAAACUCCUACGGGAGGCAGCAGUGGGGAAUAUUGCACAAUGGGGGAAACCCUGAUGCAGCGACGCCGCGUGAAGGAAGAAGGUUUUCGGAUCGUAAACUUCUAUCAGCAGGGAAGAAUAAAUGACAGUACCUGACUAAGAAGCCCCGGCUAACUACGUG